rnacentral:rRNA from 1 species
CGUGGGGAAAGUCUGCCCCCUUGGGUUCGGAAGUAACAAGUGGGCAACCGGCUGCUAAUACCGAAUGAUGACGUAAGUCCAAAGAUUUAUCGCCCAAGGAUGAGCCCGCGUAGGAUUAGCUAGUUGGUGAGGUAAAAGCUCACCAAGGCGACGAUCCUUAGCUGGUCUGAGAGGAUGAUCAGCCACACUGGGACUGAGACACGGCCCAGACUCCUACGGGAGGCAGCAGUAGGGAAUAUUGGACAAUGGGCGAAAGCCUGAUCCAGCAAUGCCGCGUGAGUGAUGAAGGCCUUAGGGUUGUAAAGCUCUUUUACCAGGGAUGAUAAUGACAGUACCUGGAGAAUAAGCUCCGGCUAACUCCGUGCCAG